rnacentral:rRNA from 1 species
AUGGUCAGCAGGGGACAGGACUCCUUGCGUCGUAACGAGGAUCUAGAUGAUGAGUUCUUUGGGGGUGCAUCAUUGGCAGGUACUGACUAUUCUGGUGAAGAAGAUGAGUCAACGGUAGCAUCGCAAGUCCCAAUCGACUACAUGGACGAAGCUGAAGCAUUGAAUGGUGAAACAAAUAUGCCGGGAUUGAUUAACUUAAAUGAUUUGCUAGCUGCCCUGAACACAUGCGUCUGGUGGAUCGCGUGGAUAGGAGCAAUACUUGUGGUUGGUAGCGCAAGGGCAGGAGAUGCUGAUGAUGAAGACCCCCCCCCCAUCAGCGGCCCUAUAUUGCUGGGUUGGCACGGUGUUCUAGAUGCACCAGACGGUCCAACAGAUAUGGGAGAGCAGCGUUCCAGGCAGCGUCGAAGGGCCCGUCCACAUGGAUUAGAUGUUCCAACAACAUGUCGGCCUGGUCCUUCCUUCCAACAUGACAACGGAGAUUCGGAUGAUGGUGAAGCUCGUAGACAUGGACUGCAAUCUGUGAAUGAUGGGUCAGCCACAUGCUUACAGCAAGCAGUGAUCACGUAUCUUCAUGACUGUGAUGCUGCCAAAAAUGGUAAAACACACAUAGUAGCUGCAGACAUGACCGAUACAGACGAAAUGGGUGCAGCAGUGGACCAAGUCGCUCGAGCAGCAAAUGUGGUGGUUGAGCAAACCAGAACCAAUGAAAAUACGGCUCGUCCAACUGUGCUAGAUGUGCAAACAUACUGCAAUCCUGGUCCUUCUUUCCGGCGUCACGAAGCAAAUGGCGCCGACGGUGAGGCUCGUGCACAGGGUUUUGCUUUAAACGGGACUGGCUCACUGACUAACUUCUGA